AAAGCCACCAUCAUUCGGUAAGAGUUUUAUAAUCAUUUAAAAAUGUUUAUUUUUCAAACCAGUGUUUCAUUUUAAUUUGAUUUUCUUCAUAGAGCAAUUGUCUUGCAUUCUACAACAAGGCUGAUUCCAAUGCUGCAGCAGCUCAGAAAGGGCAUGGAACUAUAUGGCCUGGUGGACCAGAUGGCUAGAAACUCUGAAGCAUGUCAUUCCUUGUUUGUUCCAGGGAGAAUCACCAAACCUGAUGCAGAUUUCAUAAUGAUGAACUGCCAGCCACGUUUUAGUGAGAAAGGGACAUCUAAGGAGAGAACUGAGAGGACGAAUAUCAACUUCCUGCAAGAUUUCUUGCAGGAGAUUGAAAUGUCAGAUGGGGAGCCAGACAGUGCAGCUGAUGACAAGGAGCCUCUUGCAGUGGCACACGUGCUCCAGUGGAUGACGGGGCAGGCCCAUAUCCCCAUCCUGCCUGAUGAAAAGAGACAAUUUAAAAUAACUUGCAAAUUUGACCAUGAAUGCAGGGAGCGGCUGGGAGACCACCUAGUCUGUUACCCAAUUGUGAGUGCCUGCACUCGGACUGUGACUUUUCCAGUCAGGCAUCUCAGCACUUACACUGACUUUCAAAGAGUCAUGGGGGAAACAGUGAGAUAUGGGGGUGGAUUUCACCGAGUGUGAAACAACUCACUCUACUCGAACUGAGUAUAUUAUUGUUUAAAUAUAUUUGUUAAUGGCAUUAUGAUGAAUUCAUGCUUCUUUUGUUUUACUUAUAAAAGCAUGAAUUGUUUUGUUGUUAGUUGUUUGUUAUUUUCCAGACAAGCAAAAAGGCACAUAAGGAGCUGUUGGUUUAGAGUGGUUUUAAUCAACUAAUUGUCAUUGUACAUACAGUGCAAAAAUUGUGUGUACAAGUCACGGCCAUGUGAUGGAGAAGGUUCCAGAGGAUCCACAGUUCUCUGAAGUUCUUGUAGAUCUUCGUCAUCCAGGGGGCACAAAACUUCAGGAACCACAACGGCCCCAUUUGAGUCUUCUCGUAAUAUGGCACACUCCCAGUCGAUGCCUGGGUCUUGAAGUUCCUAAGGAUCCAGGAAAACAA